rnacentral:rRNA from 1 species
GACGUAGGGCGCGAGCGUUGUCCGGAUUUAUUGGGCGUAAAGAGCUCGUAGGCGGUUUGUUGCGUCGGCUGUGAAAUCCCGAGGCUCAACCUCGGGUCUGCAGUCGAUACGAGCAAACUAGAGUGUUGCAGGGGAGACUGGAAUUCCUGGUGUAGCGGUGAAAUGCGCAGAUAUCAGGAGGAACACCGGUGGCGAAGGCGGGUCUCUGGGCAACAACUGACGCUGAGGAGCGAAAGCGUGGGGAGCGAACAGG